UGGGGGGUAUUGCACAAUGGGCGGAAGCCUGAUGCAGCGACGUCGCGUGAGGGAUGGGGGCCUUCGGGUUGUGAACCUCUGUUUCCGGUGGUGAAGGCCCCGCCCUUGGUGGUGGGGUUGACGGUAGCCGGGUAUGAAGCGCCGGCUAACUACGUGCCAGCAGCCGCGGUAAUACGUAGGGCGCGAGCGUUGUCCGGAAUUAUUGGGCGUAAAGGGCUUGUAGGCGGCCGGCCGCGUCCGUCGUGAAAUCCUCCGGCUCAACCGGGGGCUUGCGGUGGGUACGGGUCGGCUGGAGUGCGGCAGGGGAGGCUGGAACUCCUGGUGUAGCGGUGGAAUGCGCAGAUAUCAGGAGGAACACCGGUGGCGAAGGCGGGUCUCUGGGCCGUUACUGACGCUGAGGAGCGAAAGCGUGGGGAGCGAACAGGAUUAGAUACCCUGGUAGUCCACGCCGUNNCGUUGGGCACUAGGUGUGGGGCGUUCCCGUUCGCGGGGGCUCCGCGCCGUANCUAACGCAUUAANUGCCCCGCCUGGGGAGUACGGCCGCAAGGCUA
rnacentral:rRNA from 1 species